GGAAGCUUACCAUGGGUUGGCUGUCUGCUCACAGCUUCUGCAAGACAGGUGCUCAGCUCUUUGCAGGGACAAAGUUGCUCCUGCUUGUUGCUGUUCUGGCACACCAACUCCAUAUAAAGCCAAGAGAGGAGCUCCAAAGGUAUUACAGUAAAGGAGAUCAGUCUCUGAUCUUUCACAUCUUCAGUAUAAAACAAGUCUGAAAUCUCCUGAGUAACG
rnacentral:lncRNA from 1 species